UACGUAGGUGGCGAGCGCUGUCCGGAUUUAUUGGGUUUAAAGGGUGCGUAGGCGGCUUUGUAAGUCAGUGGUGAAAUACUCCAGCUUAACUGGAGGGGUGCCAUUGAUACUGCGGAGCUUGAGUACAGAUGAGGUAGGCGGAAUUGACGGUGUAGCGGUGAAAUGCAUAGAUAUCGUCAAGAACACCGAUAGCGAAGGCAGCUUACUGGGCUGUAACUGACGCUGAGGCACGAAAGUGUGGGGAUCAAACAGG
rnacentral:rRNA from 1 species